GGGCCGCUAGCUCAAUUGGUAGAGCAACGGGCUUUUAACCCGGUGGUUCUGGGUUCGAGUCCCAGGCGGCCCA
rnacentral:tRNA from 1 species